rnacentral:rRNA from 1 species
AUGCAUGAUUGGACGGGGAGGCUUGGUAAAGUAUACAAGGGAAUGUUAGGUGGUCAAGAAGUUGCAAUCAAGAGGCUAAGUAGAGAUUCUCAACAAGGAACAAAAGAAUUUAGGAAUGAAGUAAUUCUAAUUGCCAAAUUGCAACAUAGAAACUUGGUUCGACUUCUUGGAUGCUGCAGUGAGGGAGAUGAAAAGCUCCUGAUAUACGAGUAUCUGCCAAACAAGAGCUUAUAUGCUACCCUUUUUGAUGAGUCGAGAAAACUGUUGUUGGAUUGGGCGACACGCUUUCGUAUAAUCAAAGGGGUUGCAAAGGGACUUCGGUAUCUUCACGAAGACUCAAGGUUCACCAUAAUUCAUAGAGACCUCAAAGCUGCAAAUGUUUUGUUAGAUGCAGAUUUUAAACCCAAGAUAGCAGAUUUUGGUAUGGCGAGGAUCUUUGGCGAUAACUUGGAAAAUGCGAAUACCCAACACGUUGUUGGAACAUAUGGUUACAUGGCUCCUGAGUAUGCAAUGGAAGGUGUCUUCUCUACCAAGUCCGACGUCUAUAGUUUCGGCGUGUUACUAUUGGAGGUUGUAACUGGUAUAAGGAGAAACUCCAUUAGUCAAACCAUGGGAUUCUCUAGCCUCGUAGUAUAUUCAUGGAAUAUGUGGAAGGAAGAAAGGACCAAUGAGCUGCAGGACUCAUCUAUCUUACAUACUUCACCAGAUGAAAUUUUGCUUUGCAUCCAUGUAGCACUCUUGUGUGUCCAGGAGAACCCCUAUGAUAGGCCGCUCAUGUCAUCUGUUGUGUUUGUCCUAGAGAACGGGAGCACCCCACUUACAUCCCCCAAUCUCCCCGCCUACUUUGCGAGACAAAGUGCUGCAACGAAUCAGAUCAGAACUGACAUUCUUAGACCCGUGAACAGUUUUACUCUUACUGAGAUAGAGGGACGAUGA